rnacentral:lncRNA from 10 species
CUGCACUGCUCUAGUCUAGAGCUUGCUAUUCUAAGUGUGGUCCAUGGACUAGCAGCAUCAAUAUCCCGUGGGCACUUAGAAAUACAAAAUUUUAGGUCCCUCCCAGAUGUAGUGAACUCAUCCUUCACAGGAUCCCCAGGUGACUUGUGCCCACAUUAAGUUUGAGAAGUGCAGAUCUGGAGCACCGCCACUCAAGUCAUGGUCCGGGGACAAGUGCUCAUCUCCUGAACUGUUUGUUAAUGAUCUUCCAUGGGGCUAAAACUGAGCAUCCAGUGGACAGAUGUCAGGAGUUAAGGUGGAGGGGGCAGAAGAGAGGCGAAAGAUGAGUGACAGCACUGAUCUUCUCAUCCUCCAGAAGGGAAAGUUCAUUGAUACCAUCUAAAGUUGGAUAACACACGCAGCAGAGGGCACAACUCCUGGCAAUUAUUACCCCAGGGUUAUUUACUGCCACGAAGGACAAAAG